ACCCAGAUAGCAGUACUUGCUGUUAGAAUUAUGAGCCGCAGUAAGUGCUUACCUGUUUGGGCAU
rnacentral:pre_miRNA from 1 species